AACCCAGGCUGCCUCCGUCCCAGCCGAGCGCCGACAAAUCCGCCAACCGCUUAUCAAAUUAAACCGCCAUUAGCAGCGUAAACACACGAGCUGGCGCGUACGCUCACAAACACGACCUAGCGUCUCAACCAUGUUCACGCCAAAUCCCUCCUUCCUUCCUGCUUGUAAUUCCAGAGUCUUUCGCAACUCGCUUUAGUUGUCCGUCAACGCCAUGUCCGGAAGUGUGCGGCGGAUUAUAGAGAUUUGGAAUACUCAACUUCCCCUCAGGGAUGAAAAAGCAACGAGGUCCUUCUCUUCCCACAACUGUCCCGGCGACCGUUCGGCUGUCAAUCACUUCCACAACAUAAGAGGCCUGAUGACAUCACACAGGUUCUUAUGGGCUCGAUGGACAGACAGAUGGUCGUCAUAGCGAGCACUGCAGGUGCUCUGCCCCCAGGUGGAGACGGCGGGUGAAGUCACACAGGGGGGAUGCCAAGUUUGGAACAGGGGCUACAAACGGAGGGAAAAGGCCGUCAGAGGGAGGAGGAGUGUGAGGGGAGCGGGAAUGCGGCGUGUGUGUAUGGGGCGCUCCAGCGGAGGGGGCCAGGGGUCAACGCUGGGGACUCUCCCCUGAAGGCAAGUCGACUGCGAGCGGGUAAUAAUAAACGCUCAGCGUUUUGGAUUUCUGGGCCGGCGAGUCUGCUUUCAGGAAGUUAUUGCCGAAAGCUAAACACCAAUAGUUCAAUUAAAACAAUGAGAGCUAUUUGUUUUUAGUGCAUUGUUUUUGUUUAAGCAUGGAAAGUCGAAACAGCUAAAAAAAUCAUUGCAUCUAAAAAUGUACAGUACAUGAUGAUGCAUUUAAACGUACCAGACAAGGGACUAGAGAUAAUUUGAAAUAAAUAUAAUUUGAAGACAAUAUCGAUACAAAAAUAUUUAUCCUAAAAUGACCACUGAAAAAUGAUUGUUGCAUGCCUGCUUUAAACUAAAAUCAAUAACUGUCUUUGAGUGCAGAAAAUCCUAUAAAAUGGCAAAUUAUGUAAAGAAUAAUGAUGACAAACAAAUGAAGCAAGGCCUCUAGUAACACACAAAGGCGCGCGCACACACACACACACACACACACACACACACACACACGCACCCACACACACACGCACACACGCGCAUAAACACGCACAGCUAGAGUUUGGUCCAGCCUAAAUACGUCCAUUCCAGACGUUUAAUCCCAGGCUUCGCCGUGUUUGUUUUCGUGUUUACGGAAGAAUGGCAGCCGUCCGAGGACACAGCACGGAGAAAGGUCAAACCGCAAGACCCCCGGAAAGACUGGGCAAACAUGAUUAAAUUCUAAUUUGUUAUAGAAGGGAUGCCAUUUGCGAUUGCGCUGGUGAUGCAGGCUUCCCUUGAGGCUUGAAUCCAUUGCGAGCGCUCACGGUAUGAUGAAACGUGUGCUAGUGACGUUAAAACAGGGGUGGCCACACACAUUCUUUAAUUCGGCCCAAUUAGAAUUUACGUUAUCAUGAGGCCUGUAAUAUAUGUAUAUUUUUUAAAUCCACCAUUCAUAAUGACUAUAACCUACACCCAAAGGAAUUUUCUAAAUAUCUUUUUAAGAAGGGACUAAAACUAAAGGACUAAAAUAAUGCAGUUGUGCGAGUGGGCAUACUUUGAGGCUUUGUUUUGAAAAGUGGCUUAACGCGGUAUAAUUGGCACACAUCUCCACCCACAAGGAUGUAAACAUGGGAGGCCGAGAUCUUCAUCGGUGAGGAUGGAGACAACAAAGCCCGGCGCUGAAAGGUUGUUAAUCUGUGAUGGAUCUUUGGCUCGCCGACACGGCGGUGAUGGUGUCGGUCGGGAAUGUUGCCGCCUGCAUGAGGGGAACAUGUGUUGCUGUGUGCGCUAUGCGGUCCGUGCGCUCAUUAGUGCGAGCUGCAGUGCAGACUAGCUCCAGUUACAGUAGUAAACACCACCUUUGAAGUUUUAGUGGAGGCCCGAAAGCCGAGCAGGCCCGAGGAUGAAAAAAAAAGUGACGAAAGAAGGGGGGAAAUAUCGGGGAAGAGGCAAGAGGACAAUGGGGUCAUGUGACCAAGAGGUUGUUAACGCAAAUGAUGCACAACAUCUGCACCUGACACCCGCCCACCCCCAAAAAAUUAUUACAUUCAGGUGCGGGCCUAUUAGUAUAGUACAGCAUGAGAUUAAAUACGAAAACAAUUAUAUUAAAAUGCUAAAAGGCAGUCCUAUGAUAAUCCUUAUCUUGUCUUUAGAGUGUCAUUUACGUAAUUUUUCAAUAUUCACCGAAACAAUCAUCGGAAAAUACAGAGCUCAUUUGCAUGAUGUCAACGACAGCACAGGUAACAUUUUGAGAUUCUUUAUCUCAAUCAAUAUUACACACAAAAAUGUAAACCACUGUACAAAAAUGCAUACUUACACUUCUUGCAUUUCUCAGAAAACUGAAGUCAUUUCAUGAAAAGCCGAAGAAUUUCUGGAAAAGACGGAAUAACAGUGUAUAAGUGACUGCAGUGAAGUGGGCCUACUCCUAAAUAUCACAUUUGAAUGGAAAAGCUACCAAAAUAAAAUACAUUUAAAACAA